CCUACGGGAUGCUGCAGUGAGGAAUAUUGGUCAAUGGACGAGAGUCUGAACCAGCCAAGUAGCGUGAAGGAUGACUGCCCUAUGGGUUGUAAACUUCUUUUAUAUUGGAAUAAAACGUUCCACGUGUGGGAUUUUGUAUGUACCAUAUGAAUAAGGAUCGGCUAACUCCGUGCCAGCAGCCGCGGUAAUACGGAGUAUCCGAGCGUUAUCCGGAUUUAUUGGGUUUAAAGGGAGCGUAGGUGGAUUGUUAAGUCAGUUGUGAAAGUUUGCGGCUCAACCGUAAAAUUGCAGUUGAAACUGGCAGUCUUGAGUACAGUAGAGGUGGGCGGAAUUCGUGGUGUAGCGGUGAAAUGCUUAGAUAUCACGAAGAACUCCGAUUGCGAAGGCAGUUCACUGGACUGCAACUGACACUGAGGCUCGAAAGUGUGGGUAUCAAACAGGAUUAGAUACCCCGGUAGUC
rnacentral:rRNA from 1 species